CUCGGGGGCGGGACGAAGCCUAGGUGGGCGGGGCCUGCGGGGGCGCUGUGGCGGUACAAGAACCCAGGCGGGGCCGGCGAGCAGGUGACCUCCGUCCCUACCGGGAGGACCAGGGCGGGCCGGCGAGGUCGAGGGGGACCCGCGGGUCUGAGGGAGGACGGAGUGGGGGAGUGCUGAGGGAGGACCCGGGGUGGGGAGCUGAGGGAGGAUCCGCAGGGCUGAGGGAGGAUCCAGGAGAGCUGAUAGAGGUCCCAGGGGGCAGUGAGGGAGGAUCCAUGGGCGCUGAGGUGGGAAUCUAGGGAGGCUGAGGGAGGAUCUGUGGGGAUGACGGAAGUUCAAGGGGGGCUGAAGAGGCACGCAGCGGGCUGAGGAGGACCUGAGAGGCUGAAGGAGGAUCCGAAAGGCUGAUACAGCGGGGCUGAGGGGGGAUCCGCGGGGUUGGCGGGGGCUGAGAAAUGACCCUGUAGUUCACAGCAAAAUGGAGUAAUUUAUGUCACAACGUAACCAAAAUGGAGUGGGGAGGGCCCUAAGGAAGCAGCUGUCACGCAUUUCUGAAAUGCCAGAGAGGCUCGCUAUUACCUUGUAAACAGAGCUUAUUCCGGGCAUUUCCACUGGCCUGCAGUAUUCCAGAUGAGAUGUUUGGACCAGGGCAGGCAGAUAGCAUCGCCUAUCUGCCUCAGCGAACCAGGGUCACUUUGUGCAAUGAGUUCAUGAGACCAGGGCCUUUGUUUUGUGAAAGUUACAAAUAAGGAGUGAAAUCACUUUGUCAGGCCCAGACAAACAGGGCUGGGAAGAACAGGAGGCUCAGGCUUAGUGUCUGAGAUAAGAAUUAUUCGCAAGGACUUUCUAAAAACCCCACAAGAAACCCUUUUGUGUCAUUCACGGGUCUCCUACUUUGACAAAAUUUAGACCAUCUUUAGGACUGCAGUAAUUCAGUUAAGAUGCUCGGAAUAAACACUUGCCCAGUAAUGGCAGCGCCACCAAUGAACUGAGGACAACUUUGAGCUUUGGCGUUGGGCCCCUGGAACCAAUGAACUCUUUCUAAGCAGCUUCUGUGAACCGCUCCCUUUUCGCUGAUAAAAGUUCCCUUUUCACUGAUAAAAAGUUCCCUUUACCCUUCCCUCACUGGGAAUGCUGGUGGCUUGCUGCUGUUGAUGAAAAGAGUCAAACUUUGUAAAAUAUUUUAAGAGAUAUAUUCUGAGCCAAAUAUGAGUAACCAUGGCCUGUGACACAGCCCUCAGGACAGAGGUCCUGAGAACAUGUUCCCAAGGUGGUUGGGGUGCAGCUUGGUUUUAUACAUUUUAGGGAGGCAUGAGACAUCAAUCAAAUACAUUUAAAACCUACAUUGGUUUGGUUCAGAAAGGCAGGACAACUCGAAGCAGGGGUCAAGGGUGCUGGCUUCCAGCUUAUAGGUAGAUUGAAAAAUUUUCUGUUUGACAAUUGGUUGAAUUUACCUGAAGACCUGGGAUUAACAGAAAGGAAUGUCUGGGUUAAGAUAAAAGAUUGUGGGUGGGGUGCAGUGGCUCACACCUGUAAUCCCAGCACUUUGGGAGGCUAAGGCAGGCGGAUCACGAGGUCAGGAGUUCGAGACCAGCCUGACCAACAUGGUGAAACCUCCUCUCUACUAAAAAUACAAAAAUUAGCUGGGCGUGGUGGUGUGUGCCUGUAAUCCCAGUUACUCAGGAGGCUGAGGCAGAAGAAUCACUUCAGCCCAGGAGGCGGAGGUUGAAGUGAGCCGAGAUUGCGCCACUGCACUCCAGCUUAGGCAAUAGAGUGAGACUCCAUCUAAAAAAAAAAAAAAAGGAAAGAAAAAAAAAUAUAUAUAUAUAUGAUUGUGGAGACCAAAGUUCUUAUUUGCAGAUGAAGCCUUCAGGUAUUAGGCUUCAGAGAGAAUAGGUUGUAAAAUGUUUAUCGGACUUAAAGUCUAUGUUGAUGUUAAUGCCAGAGAGGUAUAAUGAGGCAUGUCUGACCCCCACUUCUUAUGGCCUGAACCAGUCUUUGAGGUUAAAUUUUAAGAGUUCCAGGCCAGGCACAGUGGCUGACACCUGUAAUCCCAACACUUUGGGAGGCAGAGGUGGGCGAAUCACUUCAGGUCAGGAGUUCGAGACCAGCCUGGCCAACAUGGUGAAACCCGGUCUCCACUAAAAAAUAUACAAAAAUUAGCCAGGCAUGGUGGUGCGCACCUGUAAUCCCAGCUACUCAGGAGGCUGAGGCAGGAGAAUCACUUGAACCUGGGAGGCAGAGGUUGCAGUGAGCAGAGAUCGCACCACUGCACUCCAGCCUGGGUGACAGAGCAAGACUCCGUCAAAAAAAAAAAAUUUUUUUUAAGAGUUCCCUGGCCGAGGAGGAAGUCCAUUUAGAUGGCUGGGGAGCCUUAUAAAUUUAUUUUUUAUUUUUGGUUUACACUUGAUAAAAACUUCAGCCGAAUUAAAUUUAAAGUUUAAUUGAGCAAUGAAUGAUUCACGAAUCACGCAGCCCCCAGAAUCACAGCAGAUUCACAGAGACUCCAGCACAGCCACGUGGUGGAAGAUUCGUAGACAAAAAAAGGUAAAUGAUGUACAGAAAUUGAAAGUAAAGUACAAAACAGCUGGAUUGGUUUCAGGUUGGUGUUUGCCGUAUUUGAACACAGUUUGAACGCUCAGCAGUAUAUGAAUAGUUGAAGUGCAGCCUCUGGGAUUGGCCAAGACGCAGCUAUUGUUACAGUUGCAUACUCCUGUUAGGUUUUCAAUCUAUCUACCUAUUAAGCUAGGUUGCAGUUCAUCCACAAGGACUCAAAUAUAAAAAUAUGAAGUCCUUCUCAGGCCAUAUUUAGUUUGCUUCAGCAACUACCCUCUUUUGGUCAUUUUCUCAAUUUUGAGAGAUUGACCAAAACUUUAGUUGUUGUCACUAUCACCAUAGUAAAUGUACUUAUUUGCUCCUGAAAUCCAGUGGGAAACAGUAGAACAAUGAGUUUUCCAAAGGUAGGAACAAAGACUGAGUAGAGGGUACCUCUUUAUGCUGGAACAUCCUGUUUACAGGAGAAAAAACCUGGUCUGUUCUAGGAUUUAUAUGUAUCCUUAGUUUGAUUAUGUCACAUUUAGCAUGAGUGACUCCAUUUUAGUUUGGUUUGUCCUGUUGGGACCUAGUGCAUGAGCUUAGUCCAAAACAAUGGCCUCCCAUAAUUGUGUUUUUUAAAAAAUUCCCCCUUUUUGGUCAGGUUCUUACUUAGGUGAGAGUGUGACCAAAACUUGGGGCCUUAGCACCACUCUCUGUUACCAUCAUUUUGUGUUUCUGGUGUCAGCACAUCGUUCAUAGGUUAUGGUAUCCUCAUGGUCACAUAUUUCUUUCAGCUCUUUCAUUCCAGUUGAAGAGAGACCAUUUGACGUUCUAGAGAUAGCUGUGUGCAAUCAUUUAAAAUCUUUGAGAGAAUACAGUGCACCAGGGAGACUAUUAUUAUGCCUAUUGGGAGCAUAAUACCAAGAGUUUGGAGUAUGCUCCUUACCCAGGGUCCCCAUAAACCAAACCACCUAAAAUUAAAUAGAUUAAAGAAUGAGUGAGAUGAAGGGUCUACUUGCUUGACUAAGUGAUCUUUUCAUUAAUCUUCUACAACUGAAUUUUUAUAAUCUACAUUUAAUGUAUUCCUCCAUAGGCCACAGCUGCCAGCAGCUGCACAGGUACUUUUCUAUUUAACUAAUUCUAUUAUUUAGCAUAACUUUCACAAGAGAAUUUAAAGUCUGUUGUGUAACGAUAGUCUUUACAGUAGAAUCUGCUAGAAAGCCUAUUAUGAGGGAUAUAUUUCUAGUUAUUGCCUAUUUUAUUCUAAACGAUGGAAAAAGGACCUAACAAAUGAUGUCCUUUUAGAAAAGUGAAGGCCCCCUGACAAUGUUCUCUUUAACCCAUGAUGUGGGUUAAGAGGAGUUUUUACUGAUUAUGAGGAAAUAUAUGUACAAUUAAAGUUUUUCACCUACAUUGGGCCUUCGUCUUGUCUUUAUCAAAGUAUAAGUUUAUUCAUGUAUAAGGCUGGCUACAAAAUCCUUCACAAAUAAAAGUAUACCUUAUAACUGAACAUAAUAGAACCCCUUUUCAUUUCUAUUAUUCAUAGAGGCAUAAACAAGGAAAAAAAUAUUCAAAGAUAAGAGUCUCAUUAUAGAAGCCUUGAUCCAUGAUCAUGGGAAAAGCUGUUCACAUCAAGGAUGCCAUCUUCUUCUGGGAAGAAACUUUCUGGGUUAGUUUUACCUUAAGGAUUCCAAUGGGUGUACAGUUCCAAGAGUGUAGAGGGACCCCUUUCAGUUGUUUAUGAACCCAAGGUUCAAGGUUCCAAAGUUUUGUUGCAGUGUAGAAGGACAGUCUUUCUCUGAUGUUCUCAGAAGAGUCAGUCUUCAGGUUCUGGAUUGUGAAGGGGUUGAUUGUCCUCAGUGAACCAUAAAAAGUUUUCUUUAUCUGGUGAAAAUAUACUCUGGCAUAAUAAUUAGCUGUUAUAACAUAAAACAUGCAUUGAAAAUGACAGUGGAAUGAAAUUCAUUUAUACAUGUUUAAAUGACCCAUCAGGUAGCCAAAUGUACCUGAAGGUUUGAUUACCUUCCCAGGAAUAUGGAACCAACCAUUGGUUUUAUUUUAUUUUAUUUUAUUUUGAGAUGGAGUCUCACUCUAUUGCCCAGGCUGGAGUGCAGGGGCAUGAUCUUGGCUCACUGCAGCCUCCACCUCCCGGGUUCAAGCGAUUCUCCUGCCUCAGCCUCCUGCGUAGCUGGGACUGUAGGCACCCGCCACCACGCCCAGCUAAUUUUUACAUUUUUAGUAGAGACAGGGUUUCACCAUAUUGGCCAGGCUGGUCUUGAACUCCUGACUUUGUGAUCCACCCACCUCAGCCUCCCAAAGUGAUGGGAUUACAGGCAUGAGCCACCAUGCCCAGCUGUGUUUUUUUUUUACAAGAAUCAUCUGCUUAUUUAUUUUACAAAGUAAUUAUUUAAAUUGAGUACAUUUGGGCACAGUAGAUAUUGGACAUGAAAAGUAUUUGUAUCAGAAUGGGCAUCAGAAAAAUAGCAACUCAUCUUACACAUAAUAACUAGAAAAUAUUAUUCUGUCUGAUCAUUUAAGUGUUACAAAUCCUGAGAAUGUUAUACACUGAACAAAUUAGGUACUACCUUAAAAUUAAAUCUUGCUUGGAAAUAAUCCUUUAAAAAUGAUCUGAGGUACAAAUCAUCUAUGUAUUAAACGUGAGUCUUUGACAUUAUACAAAGAGUUUAAACAAAUAUAUAAAUUACAGGUCAGUGGCUCUUAAAAUAGCUACCAGUCAGGUUCAAGGACACACUGUUCCGCAAUUUCCCAUAAGCUGGGGUUUUCCAUUGCAG
rnacentral:lncRNA from 10 species